rnacentral:pre_miRNA from 14 species
UAGCCCAUGUUUUUCUGGCCCGCUAGAAGCAGUUCUUCAGUGGCAAGCUUUAUGUUGUUCCUCUGUGCUAAAGCUGCCAGUUGAAGAACUGUUGAAAGUGGCUACUGUUCGACUGGGAUUAU